rnacentral:rRNA from 1 species
CAAUAGCGUAUAUUUAAGUUGUUGCAGUUAAAAAGCUCGUAGUUGGAUUUCGGGUGGGACGCAGCGGUCUCGCAUUGCGUUUGUACUGCUGCAGCCCUCCUUCUUGCCGGGGGCGGCCUGUCGGACUUCACUGUCUGCGGGUCAGAAUCGGCGAUGUUACUUUGAGUAAAUUAGAGUGUUCAAAGCAAGCUUACGCUCUGAAUAUAAUAGCAUGGGAUAACACGACAGGACUCUGGCCUAUCGUGUUGGUCUAUAGGACCAGAGUAAUGAUUAAGAGGGACAGUCGGGGGCAUUCGUAUCCCGUUGUCAGAGGUGAAAUUCUUGGAUUUACGGAAGACGAACAUCUGCGAAAGCAUUUGCCAAGGAUGUUUUCAUUGA